GCCACGCGGGCUCUGUCAGGAACAUGUCAGGAAGCUCUGGAUGGGCAAACAAGGCCAGCUUUGGAAUGAGCACAAUCUCUUUUCUCUGUUGGCAUCUCUAUUCAGCUGCUCCUAUUGGGGAAAAAAACUCUACAUACCUCCGGCGGAAGGGGAAAUGCCUUUUUUAAAAAACCAUGUGCCUACAUUGCACCUUGCAAAUACUCCCACGAAGUAACUCAAGUGCCUGGUCACUUACUUGUAUCGUCUCGUCAGCUUUGUGAGAUCGAACUUACUAUUAAAAAGAUAGGACCAUUUUUAACAACAUAUUUGAAUUGGAUGUCUGCUUACAGCUCUCCAGGAAUAAAGGUACAAUGCAGUAGUUAAAGUUGGAGAAAACCUUAGUGAUCAUCUACCAAGCCGCUUACUUUACAGAUGAGAGAUAGUUAAAUCACUUGCCUGAUAUCUCGUUGUUAGUAGGAGCCAGGGUUGGAACCCAAGGCUUUAAAAAUUCCCUUCUCCAGCUUUUCCAUAACACUUAGCUGCUUGACAUGCUCUCUGUAGAUAUUUCACUGUCAUAGAACCUCAUAUAUAUUCACUUUGGGUUAAAGAUCCGGUGUUGCCGUGAGCUGUGGUUGUAGGUCACAGACGCGGCUCGGAUCCC